rnacentral:rRNA from 1 species
AUUGAACGCUGGCGGCAGGCUUAACACAUGCAAGUCGAGCGGGCGAGGUUGCUUCGGUAACUGAGCUAGCGGCGGACGGGUGAGUAAUGCUUAGGAAUCUGCCUAUUAGUGGGGGACAACAUUCCGAAAGGGAUGCUAAUACCGCAUACGUCCUACGGGAGAAAGCAGGGGCUCUUUAUGACCUUGCGCUAAUAGAUGAGCCUAAGUCGGAUUAGCUAGUUGGUGGGGUAAAGGCCUACCAAGGCGACGAUCUGUAGCGGGUCUGAGAGGAUGAUCCGCCACACUGGGACUGAGACACGGCCCAGACUCCUACGGGAGGCAGCAGUGGGGAAUAUUGGACAAUGGGGGGAACCCUGAUCCAGCCAUGCCGCGUGUGUGAAGAAGGCCUUUUGGUUGUAAAGCACUUUAAUGGGGAGAGGCUUACCUGGUUAAUACCUGGCUAAGUGGACGUUACCCACAGAAUAAGCAACCGGCUAAACUCUGUGCCAGCAGCCGCGGUAAU